UACGAAGGGGGCUAGCGUUGCUCGGAAUCACUGGGCGUAAAGCGCACGUAGGCGGAUUGUUAAGUCAGGGGUGAAAUCCUGGAGCUCAACUCCAGAACUGCCUUUGAUACUGGCGAUCUUGAGUCCGGGAGAGGUGAGUGGAACUGCGAGUGUAGAGGUGAAAUUCGUAGAUAUUCGCAAGAACACCAGUGGCGAAGGCGGCUCACUGGCCCGGUACUGGACGCUGAGGUGCGAAAG
rnacentral:rRNA from 1 species